GAUGAACGCUGGCGGCGUGCCUAAUACAUGCAAGUCGAGCGAACGGACGAGAAGCUUGCUUCUCUGAUGUUAGCGGCGGACGGGUGAGUAACACGUGGAUAACCUACCUAUAAGACUGGGAUAACUUCGGGAAACCGGAGCUAAUACCGGAUAAUAUUUUGAACCGCAUGGUUCAAAAGUGAAAGACGGUCUUGCUGUCACUUAUAGAUGGAUCCGCGCUGCAUUAGCUAGUUGGUAAGGUAACGGCUUACCAAGGCAACGAUGCAUAGCCGACCUGAGAGAGUGAUCGGCCACACUGGAACUGAGACGCGGUCCAGACUCCUACGGGGGGCAGCAGUAGGGAAUCUUCCGCAAUGGGCGAAAGCCUGACGGUGCAGCGCCGCUUGAGUGAUGGAGGUCUUCGGAUCGUAAAACUCUGUUAUGAGGGAAGAACAGAUGUGUAAGUAACUGUGCACAUCUUGACGGUACCUAAUCAGAAAGCCACGGCUAACUACGUG
rnacentral:rRNA from 1 species